GUGCCUACUUUGGCAGCAUGUGUGGUAAAAUGGAACACACAGAGAAGACUGGCAUGGCCCCCGCGCAAGGAUGAUGCGCAAAUUCGUGAAGCAUUUUCGAUUUUA